GUACUUGCUUCAAUAGCACAUAUACUAAAAAAUCGGAAUUAUAUAGAGAAGAUUAGAAUGGAUCCUGCACAAGGAUGACAUGCAAAUUUGUGAAGCAUUCCAUAUUAAG
ensembl:snRNA U6 U6 spliceosomal RNA